rnacentral:rRNA from 1 species
GACGAACGCUGGCGGCGUGCUUAACACAUGCAAGUCGAACGGAAAGGCCCCUUCGGGGGUACUCGAGUGGCGAACGGGUGAGUAACACGUGAGUAACCUGCCCUUGACUUCGGGAUAACUUCAGGAAACUGGGGCUAAUACCGGAUAGGAAUCCUUGCUGCAUGGUGGGGGUUGGAAAGCUUCGGCGGUUUUGGAUGGACUCGCGGCUUAUCAGCUUGUUGGUGGGGUAGUGGCUUACCAAGGCUUUGAC